rnacentral:misc_RNA from 1 species
GUGAGUCAUCGAAUCUUUGAACGCACAUUGCGCCCGCUAGUAUUCUGGCGGGCAUGCCUGUUCGAGCGUCAUUUCAACCCUCAAGCUCUGCUUGGUGUUGGGAAUCGGCGUAGCGGCCUUCGGGCAGCUGCCGUUCCCUAAAUCUAGUGGCGGUCCCGCUGUAGCCUCCUCUGCGUAGUAGUUUUCUCCUCGCACCGGCAGCUUAGUGGUGACCUCGCCGUAAAACCCCCAACUUCUGAAAGGUUGACCUCGAAUCAGGUAGGAAUACCCGCUGAACUUAAGCAUAUCAAUAAGCGGAGGA